rnacentral:rRNA from 1 species
UCCAGACUCCUACGGGAGGCAGCAGUGGGGAAUAUUGCACAAUGGGGGAAACCCCGAUGCAGCGACGCCGCGUGAGCGAUGAAGUAUUUCGGUAUGUAAAGCUCUCUCAGCAGGGAAGAAAAUGACGGUACCUGACUAAGAAGCCCCGGCUAACUACGUGCCAGCAGCCGCGGUAGUACGUAGGGGGCAAGCGUUAUCCGGAUUUACUGGGUGUAAAGGGCGUGUAGCCGGGCUGACAAGUCAGAUGUGAAAUCCGGGGGCUCAACCCCCGAACUGCAUUUGAAACUGUUGGUCUUGAGUAUCGGAGAGGCAGGCGGAAUUCCUAGUGUAGCGGUGAAAUGCGUAGAUAUUAGGAGGAACACCAGUGGCGAAGGCGACCUGCUGGACGACAACUGACGGUGAGGCGCGAAAGCGUGGGGAGCAAACAGGAUUAGAUACCCGUGUACG